rnacentral:tRNA from 1 species
GAUUUAUUAACUAUACCAAGUAUAUAUUUUGAAAAUAUAAAAAAGAGUUUUUACUCUAUAAAUCU